UACGUAGGGUGCAAGCGUUGUCCGGAAUUAUUGGGCGUAAAGAGCUCGUAGGCGGUUUUGUCGCGUCUGCUGUGAAAACUCGGGGCUUAACUCCGGGCCUGCAGUGGGUACGGGCAGACUAGAGUGCGGUAGGGGGAGGCUGGAAUUCCUGGUGUAGCGGUGAAAUGCGCAGAUAUCAGGAGGAACACCGGUGGCGAAGGCGGGACUCUGGGCCGAUACUGACGCUGAGGAGCGAAAGCGUGGGGAGCAAACAGG
rnacentral:rRNA from 1 species